rnacentral:rRNA from 1 species
CCUACGGGAGGCAGCAGUGGGGAAUAUUGGGCAAUGGGGGCAACCCUGACCCAGCAACGCCGCGUGAAGGAAGAAGGCUUUCGGGUUGUAAACUUCUUUGACGAGGGACGAUAGUGACGGUACCUCGAAAACAAGCCACGGCUAACUACGUGCCAGCAGCCGCGGUAAU